CUCGGCACUAGUAGGUGAAGCAAGCACCUGAAGCUUUAGCCUAAGCACUGCUUGGUAGGAGAGUAAGCAUGCCAAACAUAAGCAAGCUCUAAUUUGCUUGAGCUCAGCCCAAGAUCCCACACACACAACUUGAGUUUUAACCAUAUUCAUAUGUAAUUUGAUUUUGUUAGUCAAAAUUAGCUUCUAUGAUAAUGUAACCUAAUAUAUAUCGUUUGAAUUUGAUUUGUGAUGCAGUGUUAUGAUGGCU
rnacentral:lncRNA from 1 species